rnacentral:lncRNA from 1 species
GAAGGCAGAAGGCUCUGGAGGAAUUAGUGCUAAAUGGAAUGAAGAUCAAGUGGCCUAAAUGUGGUCCAGGCCAAAUUGUGAAGGACCUGCUACUUACCAAGAGGAGAAAAACAGCAUAAGAGCACUGGUUAAUGGGUGUGCUUUGGAUUCACACUGGAUCCUGGGAGCAGAAUUGUUCCCUGUGGAUGUACAAGUAUCAUGGUAACUCUCCUCAGAGUUUUAGUUGAAGAAGCAUAUCAGUGACUCCUGGAUGAGUGUCCCCUGAAUCUGCUGUUCAGCAGAAUCCCAGUUUCAAAGUGCAGAGGGUACAAAACUCA